CUAACGACUCUCGGCAACGGAUAUCUCGGCUCUCGCAUCGAUGAAGAACGUAGCGAAAUGCGAUACUUGGUGUGAAUUGCAGAAUCCCGUGAACCAUCGAGUCUUUGAACGCAAGUUGCGCCCAAGGCCAUCAGGCCGAGGGCACGCCUGCCUGGGCGUCACGC
rnacentral:rRNA from 1 species